CAGCCGCCGCGGAAUACGGAGGGUGCAAGCGUUAAUCGGAAUUACUGGGCGUAAAGCGCACGCAGGCGGUCUGACAAGUCAGAUGUGAAAUCCCCGGGCUUAACCUGGGAACUGCAUUUGAAACUGUCAGGCUGGAGUCUUGUAGAGGGGGGUAGAAUUCCAGGUGUAGCGGUGAAAUGCGUAGAGAUCUGGAGGAAUACCGGUGGCGAAGGCGGCCCCCUGGACAAAGACUGACGCUCAGGUGCGAAAGCGUGGGGAGCAAACAGGAUUAGAUACCCGCGUAGUCCCUGUCUCUUAUACA
rnacentral:rRNA from 1 species